GCAGGCGGUUUCGCGUAGCGAAAGCGAAUGCUUUGGGGUGGGGUGACUGCGUACCUUUUGUAUAAUGGGUCAGCGACUUAUAUUCUGUAGCAAGGUUAACCGAAUAGGGGAGCCGGAGGGAAACCGAGUCUUAAUUGGGCGUUAAGUUGCAGGGUAUAGACCCGAAACCCGGUGAUCUAGCCAUGGGCAGGUUGAAGGUUGGGUAACACUAACUGGAGGACCGAACCGACUAAUGUUGAAAAAUUAGCGGAUGACCUGUGGCUGGGGGUGAAAGGCCAAUCAAACCGGGAGAUAGCUGGUUCUCCCCGAAAGCUAUUUAGGUAGCGCCUCGUGAAUUCAUCUCCGGGGGUAGAGCACUGUUUCGGCUAGGGGGCCAUCCCGGCUUACCAACCCGAUGCAAACUGCGAAUACCGGAGAAUGUUAUCACGGGAGACACACGGCGGGUGCUAACGUCCGUCGUGAAGAGGGAAACAACCCAGACCGCCAGCUAAGGUCCCAAAGUCAUGGUUAAGUGGGAAACGAUGUGGGAAGGCCCAGACAGCCAGGAUGUUGGCUUAGAAGCAGCCAUCAUUUAAAGAAAGCGUAAUAGCUCACUGGUCGAGUCGGCCUGCGCGGAAGAUGUAACGGGGCUAAACCAUGCACCGAAGCUGCGGCAGCGACACUGUGUGUUGUUGGGUA
rnacentral:rRNA from 1 species